UCCGGGCCUUACCCGCCGGAAGAAGGCGCGCCUCGCUCUCCACUGGGCGUGCUGUGCGCUGUGCGGCGAGGCCGUGGGUUGAGGCCGUCUUGGUUGGCUGAGCCGUUGAAAAGCAGCGCCAGCCCACAGCAGACCAGGUGUCGGCUGGACCUCAUUUCUGGGAGAACCCAGGCUCUUUGUGUCAGCUACUCUGUUUGAUUAAAAUCACUCUUCAAAGAAGAACCAUUCAUGUUAUCAGGUGGAAUUGUUAUUGUUUAAUUGUUACCAGUUUUAAAAUUGCUGCAUUUUAAGCGUUUUAGCUAAGUGUGAAAUGAAAGACUUCUGUUGGUAAGUGGAGCUUGUUAGGCAUUUUUGGAGUGGGCACCCCUUCCUGGUUGGAAUGCUAGCAGGUAGCAGGUGCAGCAUUUGGCUGGGAGACACCUGUGCCCUGGGAGCUUGCAGGUAGAACUCCGGCCAGCACUGUAUUGCAGGUUCACAGUAUAGCACGUGUCUUGGCUGAGGCAGUCUGAAAGUAGAAAGUCAGCAAAAAGAGAACAGGGUCUUCACGCAGGAAGGGAUGUGACUGAUAAGGAUUUGGAAGAGCUUUCAGCUGCAAGUCAAGGCAGGCAGCUAAUUCGUGAGCUACUAUUAACUGGGGAUUUGAGUAAUCUGGGUGGUGUUAGAAAGUAUCAUAGCUUGAUAUAGAAAAAUUUAUAAUGGUUUUGAUGCAGCUGUUUUGACAGAGGCAUGACAAAAAGGAGAAAAAACUACCAAGUAAUGUGUACAGCAGACAUUUUUUCUCCCAGUGAACCUCAGGGAUGCACUUUGGCCACGGAGUGGACAGCAGAAUGAAGGGUAUCAGGGAUAGGGGUGUUUUUAUAGAAGUAGCAGAUGACUAAAGAAUGGAAACGGGUCAAGAGUGAGAUGGACAACAAAACCCAGCCAACAGCAGAGCCUCCGACCUUCUGGGUGAUGACACAGAAAGUAGAAAGACUUCGCAAUAAUGGAGGCUGGGAAACCACAGCGUUCUCUUUGGACUGGUUUCCCACCGCCAGCCAGCCAACUUGUCCUUCAGGUCUCCAGGCAGGUGUGAAGAACAGUGUGGGAAAGCCUUCCUGUGCCUGCUCGUGCCUUGACAAUUCACAAUCCUAG
ensembl:lincRNA